rnacentral:rRNA from 1 species
GACGAACGCUGGCGGCGUGCUUAACACAUGCAAGUCGAACGAAGUGGCGAACGGGUGAGUAACGCGUAAUCAACCUGCCCUUCAGAGGGGGAUAACAGUUGGAAACGACUCCUAAUACCGCAUACUGAAGGAGGGGAUUGCGUCUGAUUAGCUAGUUGGGGGGGUAACGGCCCACCAAGGCGCUGAACAGUAGCCGGGCUGAGAGGAAGAACGGCCAAAUUGGGACUGAGACACGGCCCAGACUCCUACGGGGAGGAGGAAUGGGGGAUCUUCCGCAAUGGACGAAAGUCUGACGGAGCAACGCCGCGGGGGUGAUGACGGCCUUCGGGUUGUAAAGCUCUUUUAAUCGGGACGCGGUACCGGAAUAGAAAGCCACGGCUAACUACGUGCCAGCAGCCGCGGUAAUUC